rnacentral:rRNA from 1 species
GUCCACACGGUAAACGAUGAAUACUCGCUGUUUGCGAUAUACGGCAAGCGGCCAAGCGAAAGCGUUAAGUAUUCCACCUGGGGAGUACGCCGGCAACGGUGAAACUCAAAGGAAUUGACGGGGGCCCGCACAAGCGGAGGAACAUGUGGUUUAAUUCGAUGAUACGCGAGGAACCUUACCCGGGCUUAAAUUGCAGAUGAAUUACGGUGAAAGCCGUAAGCCGCAAAGGCAUCUGUGAAGGUGCUGCAUGGUUGUCGU